GGAGUCUGGACCGUAUCUCAGUUCCAAUGUGGCCGAUCACCCUCUCAGGCCGGCUACUGAUCGUCGCCUUGGUGGGCCGUUACCUCACCAACUAGCUAAUCAGACGCGGGACCAUCUCGUACCACCGGAGUUUUUCACACUAUGUCAUGCAACAUUGUGCGCUUAUGCGGUAUUAACAGUCGUUUCCAACUGUUAUCCCCCAGUACGAGGCAGGUUUCCCACGCGUUACUCACCCGUCCGCCACUAGGUUAUUUCAUGAAGCAAGCUUCUCGAAAUAACCCCGUUCGACUUGCAUGUGUUAAGCACGCCGCCAGCGUUUAUC
rnacentral:rRNA from 1 species